CCUACGGGAGGCUGCAGUGGGGAAUAUUGGGCAAUGGACGCAAGUCUGACCCAGCAACGCCGCGUGAAGGAAGAAGGCUUUCGGGUUGUAAACUUCUUUUAAGGGGGAAGAGCAGAAGACGGUACCUCUUGAAUAAGCCACGGCUAACUACGUGCCAGCAGCCGCGGUAAUACGGAGGUGGCAAGCGUUAUCCGGAUUUACUGGGUGUAAAGGGCGUGUAGCCGGGUAGACAAGUCAGAUGUGAAAUCCACGGGCUCAACCCGAGAACUGCAUUUGAAACUGUUGAUCUUGAGUGCGGGAGAGGUAGACGGAAUUCCUUGUGUAGCGGUGAAAUGCGUAGAUAUAAGGAAGAACACCAGUGGCGAAGGCGGACUACUGGACGGUAACUGACGGUGAGGCGCGAAAGCGUGGGGAGCAAACAGGAUUAGAUACCCUUGUAGUC
rnacentral:rRNA from 1 species